ACGCUCGACACCUACGGGGGGCAGCAGUGGGGAAUAUUGGGCAAUGGGCGCAAGCCUGACCCAGCAACGCCGCGUGAAGGAAGAAGGCUUUCGGGUUGUAAACUUCUUUUGUCAGGGACGAAGACGUGACGGUACCUGACGAAUAAGCUCCGGCUAACUACGUGUCAGCAGCCGCGGUAAUCUGAGCGGGCUGGCAAGGC
rnacentral:rRNA from 1 species